GUGGGGAAUUUUGGACAAUGGGGGCAACCCUGAUCCAGCCAUGCCGCGUGAGUGAAGAAGGCCUUCGGGUUGUAAAGCUCUUUCAGCCGGAAAGAAAACGCACUUAUUAAUACUAGGUGUGGAUGACGGUACCGGAAGAAGAAGCACCGGCUAACUACGUGCCAGCAGCCGCGGUAAUACGUAGGGUGCGAGCGUUAAUCGGAAUUACUGGGCGUAAAGCGUGCGCAGGCGGUUUUGUAAGACAGGUGUGAAAUCCCCGGGCUUAACCUGGGAACUGCAUUUGUGACUGCAAGGCUAGAGUGUAGCAGAGGGGGGUAGAAUUCCACGUGUAGCAGUGAAAUGCGUAGAUAUGUGGAGGAAUACCGAUGGCGAAGGCAGCCCCCUGGGCUAACACUGACGCUCAUGCACGAAAGCGUGGGGAGCAAACAGGAUUAGAAACCCCAGUAGUCC
rnacentral:rRNA from 1 species